rnacentral:rRNA from 1 species
AUUGAACGCUGGCGGCAGGCCUAACACAUGCAAGUCGAGCGGAGCGGCGGACGGGCGAGUAAUGAACGGGGAUCUGCCCUAUAGAGGGGGAUAACUUCUCGAAACGGUGGCCAAUACCGUAUACUUACGGAUGAAGCCAUAUGGGACUAGCUAGUAGCUGGGGUACAGGCUCACCUCGGCGACGAUCUCGAGCUGGUCUGAGGAGAUGAUCAGCCACAGUGGGACUGAGACACGGUCCAGACUCCUACGGGAGGCAGCAGUGGGGAAUAUUGGACAAUGGGCGAAAGCCUGAUCCAGCCAUGCCGAGUGUGUUGAGAAGGUCUUCGGAUUGUAAAGCACUUUAAGUUGGGAGGCGUUACCAACAGAAUAAGCACCGGCUAACUUCGUGCCAGCCGCCGCGGUAAUAC